rnacentral:rRNA from 1 species
UACCAGCACCCCGAGUGGUCGGGACGUUUAUUGGGCCUAAAGCCUCCGUAGCCGGUUCUACAAGUCUUCCGUUAAAUCCAACUGCUUAACAGGUGGGCUGCGGAGGAUACUAUAGAGCUAGGAGGCGGGAGAGGCAAGCGGUACUCGAUGGGUAGGGGUAAAAUCCGUUGAUCCAUUGAAGACCACCAGUGGCGAAGGCGGCUUGCCAGAACGCGCUCGACGGUGAGGGAUGAAAGCUGGGGGAGCAAACCGG